rnacentral:rRNA from 1 species
AUUGAACGCUGGCGGCAGGCCUAACACAUGCAAGUCGAGCGGAUGACGGGAGCUUGCUCCUUGAUUCAGCGGCGGACGGGUGAGUAAUGCCUAGGAAUCUGCCUGGUAGUGGGGGACAACGUUUCGAAAGGAACGCUAAUACCGCAUACGUCCUACGGGAGAAAGCAGGGGACCUUCGGGCCUUGCGCUAUCAGAUGAGCCUAGGUCGGAUUAGCUUGUUGGUGAGGUAAUGGCUCACCAAGGCGACGAUCCGUAACUGGUCUGAGAGGAUGGUCAGUCACACUGGAACUGAGACACGGUCCAGACUCCUACGGGAGGCAGCAGUGGGGAAUAUUGGACAAUGGGCGAAAGCCUGAUCCAGCCAUGCCGCGUGUGUGAAGAAGGUCUUCGGAUUGUAAAGCACUUUAAGUUGGGAGGAAGGGUUGUAGAUUAAUACUCCGCAAUUUUGACGUUACCGACAGAAUAAGCACCGGCUAACUCUGUGCCAGCCGCCGCAGUAAGAC